CCUUAGAUAGCGGUAGAUUGUAAAUUAACCGUCACCGUCAUGUGGAGAGCGACAGACGAGGCCCUCCUAUAGUGGAUUUGUAUAGGUAUUCGUCUAUCUCGCAGUCUGAGAUGAGUGAGUGUCAGCGAGUGUUGGCAGGUUGGCUGCUAGCUUGCUUAUAGAACAGAGUCAGUUCGCUGCGCUGAUCGGCGGGAGAAUGAAAUGACGGAACCCGGAAGUGGUGCUGGCCAUAGCCAGUCCCGCAGCAGCUCACGAGAGAGAGGAGACCAAACCCUGUGAUAUGCAGAGUAUGCACGAGGACGGCUUCAACUCCGCACGGGGGGAGCCCAACAACGCAGCAUACAGGCGACUUCCAACUGCCCGCGAGACGCUGGAGUAUCUACAAUGGAAAGAAAGAGAAAAUACUUCAACUGCUUUUGUGCAUUAAUCUGCACUGCAUUUUAGCUGAUGUAACACUAUUAUUGCAUUUAGUUAAGAUAUAAAAAGAGAUGUAUCCAAUUAGAAGAUUAAAAUUCAUUUUUGCUUCUUG